AAGAAUAAAACUUGGGCUCGAGCAGCCCAUUUUUAGGCCUAAUUUUGGAUCUAGCCCAUAAUUCCCAAGCCCAUAAUUCCUAGGUCAUACCCCUAACCUAAUUCCUACUCCUAUAUAAUAGUACCUAAUGCACAAAAUAAUAAACGAACACCAAAAACUCAUCUGAUCCGCUGUUUUACACAAAAAGGAGCCCCAUCUUGAACUUUUCUUUCUUCGCGAUUAAAACAAAAGAAAACAAAAGAAGAGAUCUCUCUUCAACACAAAAUCGAGCCAUACUCCAACUCCAAUUCCUAUCUUAAGAAUUAUUAAGAAUUGUGGACGAAAGGAAUGAGAGUGAGAGCUUGGGACGAUUUUUAGUCCAAAAUUCGAAAACAGAGAAGAAAGCAUAAUGACCGCAAAAAAUGACUUUUGGGUUCAGGCGUGGCUGAGAUGCAGUGGAGAUUGAGUUUGUUUUUUGAGGUUCCGAUCCCGGUCCAAGAUCUGAUCCGAAUUUCUAUUUGUUAAAGAUCCGUUGAGGUCUGUUUCUACCUCUUUUCAUUAAUUAAUUCAAGAAUUCUUGGUGUUCUACCUUAGUUCUUUUGGUUUGAAUGAAUUUGUAUUCUUGAAAUUUUGAAUAUUCAGAUUAAAGCUAUUAAGAUGGAAUAAUUUGCUUUCUCUGUGUUUCUAAAUGGAACAAUUUGUUAUUCAGAUGAAAUCAAUUAAAUAAAUGUAAUCUUGAGUUGUUGAAGGAUUUUUUGGUAUUCUGUUAUGUUGGAGCAGUUCGAUUUUGAAACAGUUUGAGGUUGAAAUGAAAUUUGGUUAUAUGAAUUAAUGGAAAAUCACUUGAAACAUGUUUCAACACUGAGAGUAUGGCUUGGUUAUCAAAUGGACUGAGUUAGGUUCAUUUAUAUUUGGAAGCUUUCAGUUUAGAACUUGCUACUUGCAUAAAAUUUGUUGAGUACUUCUGCUAGUUUAGAAAUAAACUAUGACAGUUGUUAGGGGUGUAUAAUGAUCGCAUAUUCUGUAGAUUUUGCUGAUGAAUAUCCCAUCACAAAAAGAUUUGGCUGAUGAUUAUUUGCACUGAGAGAUAUGUAUUCAUAUCCUUGUGCAUUCUGGCACUUAUUCAUGGAUGCCCAUCGGAUUUAAUAACUUAACAAGCACUAACAUGUUUUCUUUGUUUGGUUGCCUCGGUAGAUGUUGUUAAAUCAGGAUGUUUUUCCUAGACUGCACUUGAUAAAAUUGGUGUUUAUGCAUAUUAAUAUGUCCACAUUGUAGAAUAAAAUAAUACGUGAUCUUAAAAAAAAUAUCCUUUGUGUUAUUAAAAUGGCCCAUUCGGUUAGCCAAAUCAUUUGUGGCAUUAAUUUCAUUGUUUUUAGAAAGAUGUUGAAUUAGUCUCGGAAGUAAUCAUAAAAACUAAUUUUCCAGGUGAACUUAAAAGCUGGUUUCUAUCUAGAAGGAUGUUGAUUAUUCAUACGAAGAUGAUCAAUUUUCUGAUUUAUGUGCUUUUGUUGAGACAUGAAGCUUUUAAGAAAUUUUUUGUCAUAAUUUUCUUUGAGGAAACUUUAUCAGAAAUGGGUUGAAGAUUCACAAUUUGAGUGAAACUCAAAAGACGCAUAAGUUAGUGGUAGUGCAUCUAUUCAGUUUAAUAAUUUUGAAAUUUUCUAGCAAAAAUAAUUUUGUCUUUUGUUUCUUUACCACUGUUUGACAUAUGCUUAGCUAGUAAGUAAUUGAAUAAGUUUAAGAGCUACAAAUAUUUUCCAUAUCUCAAAUUAGUUAGGAAUAAAUAAUUCAUGAACAUCGAGGUUUGCUUUAGGCGCGAUUAAUAAACUAUCGUGACUAUGGGUAAGGUUCCCAUGACAUAGUCAUGAUACCUAAUUCCCAAAUUCGGGUAUGCAUUUAUGUGACCCAAAUCCAAAUCUCAACAACAUUAGAUAAAAUGUAUCGUGGACCGCGAGUGCAUUCAUGUGACCUGGUUCAAGACGUAUUUUAGAUGGCGUUGAAUCUUUCUAAAAUUAAUUAAAAGCGGUUAUAAAGUUAAAAUUGAACCAAAGGUUAAAACAUGUUUUAAAAUCAGAUAAAUAGGCCAAUAAUAACAGUUGAGAGACCGUGCUAGAACCACGGAACUCGGGAAUGCCUAACACCUUCUCCCGGAUUAACAGAAUUCCUUAUCCAUAUUUCUGUGUUCGCGGACUGUAAAAUAGAGUCAAUCUUUUCUCGAUUUGGGAUUUGAACCGGUGACUUGGGACACCCUAAAUUAUUCCAAGUGGCGACUCUGAAUCUUUAAACAAAUAAAUCUCAUUUCGAUUGUCACUUUAAUUGGAAAAACUCCCUUAUAUCUACCCUCGGGUGUAAGAAAAAAAGAGGUGUGACAGCUCUGGCAACUCUGCUGGGGAUAAGAACCCAGAAUCUCUGGUUCAGGGUUCAAGAAUUCGAGCUUAGAAUAAUUGUUAUAUUUGACUAUAUUUAUUAUCUGAUUUUAUUACAUGUUUGGGCCUAAUGUGUUAAAUGUUUCUUUUUACCGCUUUGAUAUUAUUUGAACUGUAUAUAAACUGCUACGAAACCCCUCUCUUCUCUCUUCUGAGGAGUGCAUACUAGCGUGACUUCUUUUUGUUAGUGUCAUAUCCCAAAUAGAACGAGGUUCGGACAAGUUGCAAAGCCGGAUGAUCUUUUGGUUACUGGUACGCUGCCCCCCGUCGGCUCGAGUUAUUCGCUCAGGUAAGCCAGGUCUAGAACAAUACACCCAUGUUUUAAACCUAGAAUAACUCAGCCUAAUGCCGGAUCCCUAGUAGGAACGUUUGGUUGCAUCACGUGCAUUUGACUUUGGAGACUUA
rnacentral:lncRNA from 1 species